UACGUAGGGUGCGAGCGUUAAUCGGAAUUACUGGGCGUAAAGCGUGCGUAGGUGGUUUGUUAAGUCUGAUGUGAAAGCCCUGGGCUCAACCUGGGAAUGGCAUUGGAUACUGGCGAGCUAGAGUGCGGUAGAGGGUAGUGGGAUUCCCGGUGUAGCAGUGAAAUGCGUAGAGAUCGGGAGGAACAUCUGUGGCGAAGGCGACUACCUGGACCAGCACUGACACUGAGGCACGAAAGCGUGGGGAGCAAACAGG
rnacentral:rRNA from 1 species